rnacentral:rRNA from 1 species
GCUACGGCCAUACCACCUUAGGCACGCCCGAUCUCGUCUGAUCUCGGAAGCUAAGCAGGGUCGGGCCUGGUUAGUACUUGGAUGGGUGACCCCCCUGGGAAUACCAGGUGCUGUAAGCA